rnacentral:misc_RNA from 1 species
AAGUCGUAACAAGGUUUCCGUAGGUGAACCUGCGGAAGGAUCAUUAUCACGUAUCCACGUAUAAACCAUUGUGAAAUGUAAACUCAAUAUUAAUCGGAAGACUUGCGGAAUGCUUGUUUUUUUUCGAAGAAUGGCAACGUUUUUUGAAAAAAGAAAGUUAUGCUCUGUGCUUUCGGGCGCAUUGAGCUCAAGUGAAUCGACCGAUUGUUAUUAACCAUUUGAACCCCUUUUGAUAAAUUGAACUGACUUUUCUCCUACUCCCGUAAAACGGAGAUGAGAUAAUUACGAAACAAAGAACAACUCUUAGCAACGGAUAUCUUGGUUCUCGUAACGAUGGAGAACGCAGC